rnacentral:rRNA from 1 species
CCUGACUGCUAUCGGAUUGAUACUAAGCCAUGCGAGUCUUUGCAGUAAUGCAAGGCAUACGGCUCAGUAACACGUAGUCAACUUACCCUAUGGACGAGGAUAAUCUCGGGAAACUGAGCAUAAUACUCGAUAGAUCAUAAUGCCUGGAAUGGUUUAUGGUUGAAAUGAUUCGUCGCCAUAGGAUGGGACUGCGGCCUAUCAGCUUGUUGGUGAGGUAAUGGCCCACCAAGGCGAUUACAGGUACGGGCUCUGAGAGGAGAAGCCCGGAGAUGGGUACUGAGACAAGGACCCAGGCCCUAUGGGGCGCAGCAGGCGAGAAAACUUUGCAAUGUGCGAAAGCACGACAAGGUUAAUCCGAGUGAUUUCUGCUAAAGAAAUCUUUUGCAAGUCAUAAAACCACUAGUGAAUAAGGGGUGGGCAAGUUCUGGUGUCAGCCGCCGCGGUAAAACCAGCACCUCAAGUGGUCAGGAGGAUUAUUGGGCCUAAAGCAUCCGUAGCCGGCUCUGUAAGUUCUCGGUUAAAUCCAUGUGCUCAACGCAUGGGCUGCCGAAAAUACUGCAUAGCUAGGGAGUGGGAGAGGUAGACGGUACUCGGUAGGAAGGGGUAAAAUCCUUUGAUCUAUCGAUGACCACCUGUGGCGAAGGCGGUCUACCAGAACACGUUCGACGGUGAGGGAUGAAAGCUGGGGGAGCAAACCGGAUUAGAUACCCGGGUAGUCCCAGCCGUAAACGAUGCAGACUCGAUGAUGCAUUGGCAUAUAGCCAGUGCAGUGUCGCAGGGAAGCCGUUAAGUCUGCCGCCUGGGAAGUACGUACGCAAGUAUGAAACUUAAAGGAAUUGGCGGGGGAGCACCACAAGGGGUGAAGCCUGCGGUUC